ACUCCUACGGGAGGCAGCAGUAGGGAAUCUUCCACAAUGGACGAAAGUCUGAUGGAGCAACGCCGCGUGAACGAUGAAGGCCUUCGGUCGUAAAGUUCUGUUGUAAGGGAAGAACAAGUGCCGCAGGCAAUGGCGGCACCUUGACGGUACCUUGCGAGAAAGCCACGGCUAACUACGUGCCAGCAGCCGCGGUAAUACGUAGGUGGCAAGCGUUGUCCGGAAUUAUUGGGCGUAAAGCGCGCGCAGGCGGCCUCUUAAGUCUGAUGUGAAAGCCCCGGCUCAACCGGGGGAGGGCCAUUGGAAACUGGGAGGCUUGAGUAUAGGAGAGAAGAGUGGAAUUCCACGUGUAGCGGUGAAAUGCGUAGAGAUGUGGAGGAACACCAGUGGCGAAGGCGACUCUUUGGCCUAUAACUGACGCUGAGGCGCGAAAGCGUGGGGAGCAAACAGGAUUAGAUACCCUGGU
rnacentral:rRNA from 1 species